GAUAUAAAACAUAUUGGAGAAAGAAAUGUACGAGCAUAGAGAAAUCAUUGGAUACAAAAUAAUGACAAUACGGGUUAUUUUGAACUUUUCUGGCCAAACUACACAAGCAUCGUCUAUAAAUAAAAAUAAGAAAAAGCCCUUGUUUCCAAUGGAUUUCAUGAAACGUAAAAAUUCUUCGACUACAAAGAGAAAGCGACAAACGACCGGUAAAGCUUCAUCGCCGAAUAAACGGAAACGGAAAUGGACGUGGUUACAGCGAGUAGGUGCACACGCGGGUAUCACGAGCGUUCGUUACAUCGUCAGGGGGCUCGUGACGACUUUUCCGUCGAGGCGUUAACGCACAGCGAACGUGUUACCUUC
rnacentral:misc_RNA from 1 species